rnacentral:lncRNA from 1 species
AAGCCAGACCCCCCUUCCUUUAGGUCGUCUCCCACACCAGACCCAAACCCCACGAAACCCUAGCGCCGCCCCCCUUUCCCUUCACCGUGAACCCGGCGGCAACGACGCCGGUGACCACCAUCUUAACACCCCUAGUACACCUCAACCCCCUAAACAAGGAUCUGCUACCCCCUUGCCUCGAAUUAUUCCCCCUUGCCUCGAAUCUUCAUUUGAAGGUUCGAACAAAACCCCGAUCUACACCAACCUACCCCAGAUUCACACCAAGUACUCCCCUGACUUCCCUCGUGACCAAACCAGGCUUGGUUUGGUCCGAAUCUAACCAGGAAAACCUGAACCCCUAAUCUGAGCCCCAUGAACCCUAGAAAUCUAGAAAUCAGGAUUUUGUCCUAAUUAGCAGAGGUUUGAGGGUCUAAUAGACCUUAGUCAAAGUGUUCUCUGUUGAGAACACUUGAUUAAGGUCCGUUCGACCUCAAAAGGUCGAGUAUGAGUUUGGGUCUGUUUCACCUAGUACUUGAGGUAUUCUUUUGUUUUUUUCCGUUUGAUCCAUUGUUGUUUGUUUGUUUGUUGUUCGUUCGUUGUUUAGAAUGAUUUUAUUUCCAAUGUCUUCACUUUGUUCUUCUUUUAUCUGAAUCGGACCUUUUAUUUGAUCGAAUUAUUCCUGUUCGUUUGUUCAAGUAUAUAACAAGCUGUGUAGUCGAUUCGAUAAGUUUCGUCGAUUAAUUAAGUUUCCUUUUAGCCCAUGUUUUGUCAAUACCAUUGAAAUCACAAGUCUGCCUGUUUGUUUCUGAUUGUUUGUUGCCAGUCAUAUGUUGUACACUACGUAGUCGAUUAAUUAAGUUUCGUCGAUUAAUUGUUUGUAGUUUAUUUGUUCCCUUCAAACUGUUUGGUGCCAGUUUUGUUGACAUUCCCUGAUUCUGAGCUUCUUGUUAGCUUGAUUCUGCUGAAUAUAUAUGCACAUGAAUUUAUACUAGUUUCAAACUGAACCUAAGCUGAGUUUUGGAUUGUUGACCCUUUUUAUGCACAUAAGAUAGAGAUUACUAGCCUUGUUGAUUCACUUUAGAUUCAGGAAAUCAGAAAGCAUGGCAAUUUGUAGUUCUUUAAUGAAUUAGGGUUAAUUGGACAGCAUGUGCUGUCAGGAUUAUUCCUGCUGCCCAUGUUUGCUUAGUUUAAUAAAAUGAUAAACCAUUUUAAUAAUGAAAAAGAGGCUGUCAUGGGAAUCUCAUGGGAAGAGUUUUUAUUUUAAUCCUUGAGUGGAAAAGCAGGAGAAGAACAUGGGAGGGAGUUCAGUGGAUUUUAACAGGCUGUUUGAAUGGGCUGAUACUAGGAUAAAUAGAGGAGGAUUCCAUUAGUUAAAGGGGGGACAGACAGGAGAGAGUUCAAAGGGAGAGAGUUCUGAAAAUCAAAGAGAGUUCUGAAAAAAUCAGAAAGAAGAAAAACAGAAAUAGACAUAGAGAGAUACACAGAAUACAUAGGGAUACAGAGAUACACAAGCUAAAAAGACUGAAAAACAGAAGAGAAGAAAGAGUGAGCGAGGGUUGAGUUGGAAGAAGUAGAUAGAGUUCACAUAGCAUCGAAGAGAGGCUUUGAAAAUAGUUGAUAGCGAAAGCAACAAAACACUACUUCAGUGAGUUCUGGUUUAGUGUCAAGUCCCAGUAGCUGACAUUGGUCUGCUCAACUGAUUUCAAUUUGUUGGAACCUAUUGGCUAUCUAUUGGUCCAGUUUUGGUCUAAAUUCAAGUUCAGUUGAUUCUGUUUGGUUUGUUUAGUUGGUGUCGGGUUUCACAAAUCACUUCGAGCCUCCUUUAAAUAUAUUUCUGGGGUAUUUGGUGCUGUUGGAACUGCUGCCUUUGCUGUUGCCUGUGUACUGCUGCUGCUUUGCUGACUUCUUUUCUCUUCAAUUGUAAACGUUUCCAGGUACACACUUCUGAAACUAUGGGUUGAUGUAAGCUUAAAUUGGAAGUUGAGUUGAAAUAAACAAAGAAAUGAAACGUUCACCUACUUUCACAAUAUCUGUGUUUAAGAUGUAGAAAUAGGAUAAAAUGAUUCAAUUAGUUCGUAUUUGCUUGGGCUCAUUCUAAUCGUAUUUGUUUUGUAUAAAUUGGGGCGUACCCGAACCAAUAUGGACUGUUAAGUAGUAUGUUGUUAUAUUGAUUAGAUGUGCACCAUGUGUUUAGCAAUUUAGUUUAACUUAGCCAACGAUGAUGGCAUAACGCAUAAUCUAAUAGGUGUCUAUAUGUACCCUGUUGGAUCUUUGGACUGUUUAAAUUUGUUAUGGCCCGGUUCAGUUUGACUUUAAGAAAUAUGUAUCUC